rnacentral:rRNA from 1 species
GUAGCGAAAGCGAGUCUGAAUAGGGCGCAUAAGUAACAGGUCGUAGACCCGAAACCAGGUGAUCUACCCAUGUCCAGGAUGAAGGUAAGGUAAUACUUACUGGAGGUCCGAACCCACGCACGUUGAAAAGUGCGGGGAUGAGGUGUGGGUAGCGGAGAAAUUCCAAUCGAACUUGGAGAUAGCUGGUUCUCUCCGAAAUAGCUUUAGGGCUAGCCUCGAGGUAAAGAGUCAUGGAGGUAGAGCACUGUUUGGACUAGGGGCCCUUCUCGGGUUACCGAAUUCAGAUAAACUCCGAAUGCCAUGUACUUAUACUCGGGAGUCAGACUGCGAGUGAUAAGAUCCGUAGUCGAAAGGGAAACAGCCCAGACCACCAGUUAAGGUCCCCAAAUAUAUGUUAAGUGGAAAAGGAUGUGGGGUUGCUUAGACAACCAGGAUGUUGGCUUAGAAGCAGCCACCAUUGAAAGAGUGCGUAAUAGCUCACUGGUCGAGUGACCCCGCGCCGAAAAUGUACCGGGGCUAAACAUAUUACCGAAACUGUGGAUGAACCUCUUUAGAGGUUCGUGGUAGGAGAGCGUUCUAAGGGCGGUGAAGUCAGACCGGAAGGACUGGUGGAGCGCUUAGAAGUGAGAAUGCCGGUAUGAGUAGCGAAAGAAGGGUGAGAAUCCCUUCCACCGAAUAUCUAAGGUUUCCUGAGGAAGGCUCGUCCGCUCAGGGUUAGUCGGGACCUAAGCCGAGGCCGAUAGGCGUAGGCGAUGGACAACAGGUAGAGAUUCCUGUACCAGUGCUAAUUGUUUAACCGAUGGGGUGACACAGAAGGAUAGGGAAUCGCACGAAUGGAAAUGUGCGUCCAAGCAGUGAGUGUGAGAAGUAGGCAAAUCCG